ACUUCAGCCAGAGAGCGGGGUUAGGGCUUCAUUGCCUUGUGUCCUCUGCUCCGGGAGACUUCGGUGAUUCUGCCACUCCCUCCGUCGCUCUGUGACCUGCUGGCAUUGAAUGAUUUAUAGCUAAGACUCCAGGACACCCCUGAAGCCGAGAAAUGAAAUCCCAAGUUGACCGUCAAGUCCAACGCUCGCUGCAGACAUCUAGUGGACCCGGCGCUCGCGGACGGAAGCGGACAGACCUAGUUGGAUCCUUAUCCCACCAAUCUGGCCCACCUUUGCUGCCAUCUAACUCCGCUGACCGGCCCACCGUUCCUCCACUGUUCGCUGGUUGACCCGGGCAGCGGAGAGAGGAGGCGGCACCAACAGAAGGCUUCUGCAAAGCUGAGAGCUCCUUUUACCCAUGGAUCAGGAGCAGAGUUUGCAGCUACACUGUCAGGCUGUGUUUGGAUGUUAGCAGUUAGUUUAGCUUUGCGUCUUCAGAGCAAUUGUUCUUAGCUACUUAAAAAAAGAAAAGAAAAGAAAGGAAAAUUUAAAAUUUUCUUCAUUGAUCAUUCAGGAGCAUGUUUAAUUUCCAUGUAUUUGUACAAUUUCAAAAGUUCACCUUGUUGUUGACUUCUAGUUUUAUUCCAUUGUGGUCAGGAAAGAUACUCGAUAUAAUUUCAAUUAUUUUAAAUUUGUUGAGACUUGUUUUGUGGCCUAACAUAUGGUCUAUUCUGGAGAAUGUUUCUUGUGCUGAUGAAAGAAUGUGUUUUUUGCAUCUGUUGGAUGAAAUGUUCUGUAAAUGUCUCUUUGUUAGUCUAAAAUGCAGUUUUUUGUUUUUUGUUUUUUUAGGAGAGUCUCACUCUGUUGCCCAGGCUGGAGUGCAGUAGCAUGAUCUUGACUCACUGCAACCUCCACCUCCCAGGUUCAAGCAAUUCUCAUGCCUCAGCCUCCCAAGUAGCUGGAAUUACAGAUGCCCACCACCACACCCAGCCAAUUUUUGUAUUUUUAGUAGAGACAGUGUUUUACCAUGCUGGCCAGGCUGGUCUCAAACUCCUGGCCUCAAGGGAUCCGCCUGCCUUGGCCUCCCAAGGUGCUGGUACUAUAGGUGUGAGCCACCGCAUCCAGCCUAAAGUACAGUAUAAAUCUAAUGUUUUGUUUUUGAUCUUCUAUCUAGACAAUCUGUUCAGUGCUGAGAAUGGGGUAUUGAAUUCCCCAGCUAUUGUAUUGGCAUCUAUAUCUCCCUUUAGACCUAAUAAUAUUUGGUUUAUAUUAUAUAUCUCGGUGCUCCAGUGUUGGGUGCAUAUAUAUUUAGAAUUGUUACAUCCUUUUGCUGAAUUGAUCCCUUUAUCAAUAUAUAAUAACCUUCAUCUUUUUUUAAUCACUUUUGAGUUAAAGUCUGUUUUAUCUGAUAUGAGUACAGCUACCCUGCUUGCUUUUGGUUUCUGUUUGCAUGGAAUAUCUUUUUCCACCCUUUCAGUCUAUGUGUGUCUUUACAGAUGAAGUGAGUUUCUUGUAGGCAACCUAUAGUUGGGCCAUGUUUUUUAAUCCAUUCAGCCAGUCUAUAUAUUUUAAGGGGGGAAAUUUAAUCAGUUUACAUUCAAGAUUGUUACUGAUAGGUGAGGGCUUCUGUCAUUUUGUUAAUUAUUUUCUGUUUUUUAAAUAUAUCCUUUGUUCCUUUCUUCCCCUCUUAUUGUUCAUCCUUGUAAUUUGGUGGUUUUCUGUAGUGGUAAAAUUUCUUUUCUCUUUCUCCUUUGUGUAUGUGCUGUACCAGUGAGUUUUAUACUUUUUUCGUGCUUUCUUGAUAGUAACUAUCAUUUCACUUCCAGAUGUGGGACUCUGUUGAGCAUUUCUUGUAAGGCUGGUCUAGUGGUGAUGAAUUCUGUCAGUUUUUGCUUGUCUCAGACAUGUCAGGCAUUUAGCUUCAGGACCUGAUUCUAGUUCCUGCCCUGUGGUGACAAAUAGAAACAGAUCCCUGGUACCCUGCUUAGGUACUAAGCCAGCUAGAUGAGAGCAGAUGAAAAAAUCAAAUCUUUCUAUUUUGCCAGGGAUUAAUUCAUUCCCAGGAUUGUAAAUAUUACAUUUCACUUUUCAUCUCACAGAACUGUGAGGUUAGAAAGUGAGCUGGGCAGCCUGCCCAGAAAGACAUUAUGAUGUAUACAACACAGUGAACUACUAAGGAGGUGUCUUUAAAGGCAUUUACAGCACAUAGCUUUUAGUUUUCCUUUUAAUUUUGCUGCUCUUUAUUUGUAGUAGUAGAUAAGGAAUUAAGAAAGCAAAAAUAAGUGCUUUGACUAGGUCUUUUGCCUUUGAAAAUAGCAUUAGUAAAAUCCUCUCUUCUUUUUUAUUCUUGUAAACUUCACCUAAUUCACUCUGCCCCCCAGCCCAUCUGUGUUCACUUGCUGUUCUUGCUGCUGUCAGUUUUUAAAAGCUUACUCUAAAAUUACAUGAAAGCAACCCCAUUUUGACAAAAUUAGAAUUCUGGUAGCGAUGGCUUACCAUGAGGCUGUUGAGAGAGGCCCAGGAAGACUUUUGUUCUUUUUAUUUCAACCCCUCUCGGUUAAACCUACAAUUUGGUAGGUGAUAUAAUUACCUCCCUUGGACAGGUCUGUAUCUCUGCCUUGGAGAAAUAACAAAGUCCAAAGUACUCUCCUCAUUCAAAGAUGUUGCAAAUGAAAGCUGUUUUGAUCUUCAUGUAUUAGCAUUUGAGUUUUAAUCUUUCUGGGGCUCCUGGCAGAAAAUUUCUUUAAAUUUAUUAUAUAAUUCUAAAAUAUUGGACAUAUUUGUUUCACGCAUCUGUCAAUAUCCUUAUUCUUUUCAUUAAACUCUCCACUGCCCCCAUUAGUCAUCAGGUCCUACUGAUUUUUAACUCCUAAGUAUUUCUCAAAUCUGUCUCCUCAGUGUGUAUUGUUGGUUAUAUAACUCCAUCUCCAUUGUCACUGUGCUGCUUUAGAGUAUCUUUUCUUGUCUAGAUCAGUGCCUGGCUUAUAUUAUGAGCUUCGAAAAGUUGGAUCAAUGAAUGAAUGAUUCAUAAUCUGGACAAGUGCACUCUAACACUUGACUGAAAAACAAAAUCUUAGAUCUAUCUUCCAUGUAAAAGCAUCUAUCUAAAAUGCAAAUCUUACUUUGAUAAUCUCCAGCUUAAUAGCUUAGAUGGCUCCCAGGCAUCCCCAAAACCAUCUCUCAAUUCACUGAUCAAAAAAAUAAAACUUAAAAAUUUUAAAACUAAAAAAAAUUGAACAUUUCAUUGGUCAAAAAACAAACAAAAAAAAGAUCUCUGAGCAUGCCUCAGUCACACCCUGCCCUGCUGUGCACCCCUCUCCAAACCCCAGCCUACAGGGACCACCCAAUAACCUCUUCUUUGCUACAUAACCCUUACCCUCCUUCCUCAAGACUCAUAUAUUCUCCUUAGAAACUUGCCCCCCACUUCCUGGAAACAGUAGAUUCUUUUUUGCUUAUGGUUUUUGUAAUGACAUCAGCCAUUUAGAACUCAUGAUGUGCCCAGGCCCCACUAUCUGCCUUUCCACAGAUCUUGCUCAGACAAUCCAUCAGGAUUUAGUCACAGAUCCAAAGUAAGGAGCCAGAGGGGAGCUUCAGGCUUGGUCUCUUUGGGUUGAAGCUAGAAAACUAAUCUAUGCUGAACACAAAAAAGAAGCUGAGUAAUAGCCAACCUACACAUCCUAGGAAUAACUAUUGUUUUUUUUGCCCCCAGCCAGUCUCUCCGCAGUCCUCUCUCCUUCUUUACAUUUCUUUUAAACACAGUAUGUUAACACAACACUGUGUAAGAACUGGGAUUCAGAAAACCAAGAUAUAGGUCUCCACCAGCUAUGCUAUUGUGUCCAGAAUUGAUGGGUUCUUGGUCUCACUGACUUCAAGAAUGAAGCGGUGGACACUCUCAGUGAGUGUUACAGUUCUUAAGGUGGGGCAUCUGGAGUUGUUUGUUCCUCCCAUCUGGAGUUGUUCAUUCCUCCUGGUGGGUUCAUGGUCUCGCUGGCCUCAGGAGAGAAGCUGCAGACCUUCGCGGUGAGUGUUACAGCUCAUAGAGACGGUGUGGACCCAAAGAGUGAGCAGCAGCAAGAUUUAUUGCAAAGACCGAAAGAACAAAGCUUCCACGGUGUGGAAGGGGACCCCAGCGGGUUGCCACUGCUGGCUCGGGCAGCCUGCUUUUAUUCUCUUAUCCGGCCCCACCCACAUGCUGCUGAUUGGUCCAUUUUACAAAGGGCCAAUUGGUCUGUUUUACGGAGAGCUGAUUGGUCCAUUUUGACACGGUGCUGACUGGUGCAUUUACAAUCCCUGAGCUAGACACAAAAUUCUCCACUUCCCCACUAGAUUAGCUAGAUACAGAGUGUUGAUUGGUGUAUUUACAAACCCUGAGCUAGACACAGAGUGCUGAUUGGUGCAUUUACAAACCUUGAGCUGGAUACAGAGUGCCAAUUGGUGCAUUCACAAUCCCUUAGCUAGACAUAAAGAUUCUCCAAGUCCCCACCAGAUUAACUAGAUACAGAAUGCCAAUUGGUGAAUUCACACUGAGCUAGACACAGGGUGCUGAUUGGUGUAUUUACAAACCUUGAGCUAGAUACAGAGUGCUGAUUGGUGUAUUUACAAUCCCUUAGCUAGACAUAAAGGUUCCCCAAGUCCCCACUAGACUCAGGAGCCCAGCUGGCUUCACCCAGUGGAUCUCGCACAGGGGCCACAGGUGGAGCUGCCUGCCAGUCCCUUGCCAUGCACCCGCCCGCACUCCUCAGCCCUUGGGCUGUUGACGGGACCAGGUGCCAUGGAGCAGGGGGUGGCACUCGUUGGGGAGGCUCAGGCCACACAGGAGCCCAUGGCGCAGUGGGGGAGACUCAGGCAUGGCAGGCUGCAGGUCCCAAGCCCCGCCCCACAGGGAGGCAGCUAAGGUCCGGGGAGAAAUUGAGCACAGCACCAGUGGGCCGGCAUUGCUGGGGGACCCGGUGCACCCUCCACAGCUGCUGGCCCUUGUGCUAAGCAUAUCACUGCCCGGGGCCAGCCAGGCCAGCGGCUGCUCUGAGUGUGGGGCCUGCCUAGCCCACACCCCCCUGGAACUCUCACUGGCCCACAAGUGCCUUGCACAGCCCUGGUUCCCGCCCGUGCCUCUCCCUCCACACCUCUCCGCAAGCUGAGGGAGCCAGUGCCAUCCUCGGCCAGCCAAGAAAGGGGCUCCCACAGUGCAGCAGCAGGCUGAAGCGCUCCUCAAGCGUGGCCAGAGUAGGCGCCGAGGCUGAGGAGGCACCGAGAGUGAGCCAGGGCUGCGAGGGCUGCCAGCACACUGUCACCUUUCACUAUGAGUUAGCCAUGAAAACUCUCUGGGCCUCAUUGACUAAAUCUGUAAAAUCUGACUUUAUGAGGAUUAUAUUCAUUGAACUCUGAGGUCCUGUCCAUUUCUUACACCCUGAUUCAAAGACUGCAUAUAACCUCUAACCCAGAUGUUCUUAACUAGGCUUCUUGUAUGUCUGGGAAGAUGAUGAAAGAACUUCAAGGGGAUCAUGAGCUCUUUAACUUCUAUGUAAAAUCCAAGGCUGGGCAUGGUGGCUCACGCCUGUAAUCCCAGCACUUUGGGAGGCCAUGACAGGUGGAUUACCUGAGCUCAGGAGUUCAAGACCAGCCUGGGCAACGUGGUGAAACCCCAUCUCUAUUAAAAUACAAAAUAAUCAGCCAAGUGUGGUGGCGCGUGCCUGUAGUCCCAGCUACUCAGGAGGUUGAGACAUGAGAAUUGCUUGAAUCCUGGAGGCAGAGGAAGUUGCAGUGAGCUGAGAUUGUGCCACUGCCCUCCAGCCUGGGAGACAAGGAGAAACUCUGUCUGAAUAAAUAAAUAAAUAAAUAAAUAAAUAAAUAAAUUAAUUAAUUAAUUUAAUUCUGUGUAAAAUCCUGUGUGAGCUGGCUGCAUCACCUUGCCCCACAGAGGGGGUUUUCUUAUCUUUUUUUCUCUCUUCCAAGGUAAUGAUAGUCUAUGGUUGCCCUACUAUGUACUCUCUUUUUAUUAUUUUAUUUAUUAUUUUAUUUUUUUAGAGACAGGGUCUCACUCUGUUAUCCAGACUGGAGUGCAGUGGCAUGAUUAUAGCUCACUGCAGCCUUGGUCUCCUGGGUUCAAGCAGUCAUCGCACCUCAGCCUCCUGAGUAGCUAGGAUCACAGGCACACCCCACCAUGCCCAGCUAAUUAAAAAAAUAUUUUUUUUUUAGGCUGGGCACGGUGGUUCACGCCUUGAAUCCCAGAACUUUGAGAGACCAAUGCAGGAGGAUUGAUUGAGUCCAGGAGUUCAAGAACCUGAGAAAUACAGAGACCCCAUUUCUACCAUGAAAAAAAUAAAAACAUUAGCUGGGCCCAGUGGCAUUCACCUGUAUUGCCAGCCACUUGUGAGGCUGAGGCAGAGGAUUGCUUGAACCCAGGAGUGCAAGGCUGCAUUGAGCUAUAAUUGUGCCACUGCACUCAGCCUGGGUGACACGGCAAGACCCUGUCUUAAAAAAAAAAAAAAAAAAAAAAGAAAGAAAGAAAGAAAAAGACUACAGGUAAGAAAGUACUUGGAUAACAGUAAAAAAGUUAAACACAUGACAUUGGACCUUAUGAAAUGUGUUUACCCUAGAGCUGUUUAUUGUAUGAUAGGUCCCUCCUAGAUAGUAUUCAAGGUUUAAUGCAGAAACAGAGCAAGACUCUGUUUCAAAAAUAAAAUAAAAUAAAAUAGCUGGCCAUGGUGGCUUGCACCUAUAGUACCAGCUGCUCAGGAGGCUGAGGCAGGAGGAUCUCUUGAGCCCAGAGAGUUAGGGGCUACAGUGAGCUAUGAUCACGCCACUGCACUCCAGCCUGGGUGACAGAGCAAGACCCUGUCUCUAAAAAAAUAAAUAAAAGUAAAUAAAAAGGAACCCUGGGCUCCACAUUAGAGAUUCAAAUUCAUUUGCUUUAGCACGGGGUCAUGGAAUCUGUCCCAGCAUCCUAAAAGCUGCCUCAGUGAGUUAACAAAAGGGCUGGUAUUGAAAGAACUGUCAACAAGCUGUGACAAAAAGAAGCCUCCUCUGUGAGGCAGGGAAGUGGGGCCAAACAACAGGGGGUUUUUUUGUUUGUUUUUUGCUUUUUUUUUUUUUUUGUGGAGGAGGAGAGGAGCUGAUUUAGGACAGCUAAAAUGGUUGUGAGAGAGUACAAGAAUCUAGGGAAGUUUGAGACCGUGAAACUGUGGCAGCCUCAGCAGGUGCUUCUGUGGGCUUUCUCCAGCUCUCAGCAGGGUGGAGUCAGGAGCAGAGAAGGCAGUUGGUGGGAUGACCCGAAGUUGGGGUUUCAUCAGAGAGGAGGAGCAGGAGGACAGGGUGUAAGGCAGAUCAAGGAGUGUUACUAAGGGGCUCAGGUCCUAGACAGUGGGCCUAGCAGGUAGGCAGUGAGGGUCGUGAAGGAUGGGGUAGAUGCAUGACAAGAGGCCCUGAAAACCAGGGGAAUUUGGCAACAACAGAGCCCUGGCAGUCCCAGGAGGGGAGCAGGUCUAACAGGAACACCCUUGCACCUGUGCAGGAGAGCAGCAAGGCUAGGAGGCUGCAGACAGACAGUGGAUAACUGAAAGGUGAACUUUCUGCUGGACAGCAGAUCCCUGGAUGCCAUCCCGAUGGAGAUCUAAGAUGAAAAAUACUCCGCCAUGAAAAUGCCUUACAUGGUCCUAACCAUGAAGCAUAAAAUUGCCUUUUCACCUGAAAAUGACCUGCAGCUUCAUUUACCAUUUUAUGUUUUGGAUGUCAUGUAACAUCCAGAAGCAAUACCCUCCUCCAUUGCAAGUCAAAGUAAAAUCAGAAAAUGCUCAGUGGAAAGGAAAAAAACAAAACAAAACAAAAAAACAAAAACAAGCAAACGAACAAAAAAACCAGAAGGCAAAAAACCAGCAAUAGAAUAAAGCUGCAAACCCAAAGCACCAGGAGAGGAAAGGGAAAAAAACCUGCAGCAUACACAAGCUUUGACAUUGUGUGAUCUGUGAAAAUGUAUAGAAAUGUUACCUUACCCAAAAAUUCCCAAGGUGCUUUAUUUGCCCACCACUGGAAGGAAGUAGAAAUUCCCACGCAGGUUGUUACUUUUAAUUUUCAUCCUCUUUAUGUUGUUUCCUAAAAUAACAACAGGUAUUCUAGAGAUGAUUUACCAAGAUGGCUUAAUGAGGUGUCAGAUGAGUACUCAUUCCCACAAGCCCCUUUACCUCAGGCCUCCUUAUACAAAUUUGACUGACUCUUCUGAGCCCGACUAGAUAAAAAAACAGACAUAAUUGGAGCAGCUGGGCUGGAAGCACAGCUGGGCCAUCCCCAUGGAGACAAGAUUCUAGCACCACGUGCUCUUCCUUCCCCAGCGUUUCUCCUCACUCUUGCUUUUCAGAGCAGCAGCCCACCCAAACCUGGGUCUUCCUCAGAUGAUCUCCACAUCAGUGCUUAUCAGCAUUCAUGUGCACACAGAUCACCUGUGCAACUUGUGAAAAUGCAGAUUCAGACUUAAUGGCUGGGGUGGUGCCUCUGGAUCUAUGUGUCUAACAAGCCCCAUGGUGGUGCACGUGGUCAUCAGAUGGUCCUAGUUCCACACUCGGACGAGAUAUUUAGAGCCUGUAAAAUAGCUACUCCCCUAUCCAGUGUUUGAGUCCCAGACUUCUGGAUUAUGCUAGCACUCAGAUGCUUCUGGGACAGGACGCUUCCUGUUCAUCUUGGGUCAACACGUCAGAGAGACCUUCCUGUAUUGAGCUGAGAUCUGCCUACGUAGGGCUCACCUUCACCUGGCCUACUUCUGGGCCUUGGAUUCUACGUAGCAGGCUUAAGGCCUUAGAAAGUGGCUGGCAUGUCCCCCAGGUAUUUUCUUCAGGCAAAACCUGCCAGGUCCUCUGGCUAUUAUUUUUUAAUUUUUUUUAGAGACAGGGUCUCACCAUGUUGCCAUGCUGGUCUCAAACUCCUGGGCUUAAGUGAUCCUCCUGCCUCAGGCUCCCAAAAUACUGAAAUUACAGGCAUAAGCCACCAUAACUGGUCUUGGCUAUUCUUCUUAUGCUAUAGUUUGGUUAUUCUGGUCAUUUCCUUCUUUUUUAUUUUUAUUUUUAUUUUUUUUUUAGAUGGAGUCUCACUCUUGUCACCCAGGCUGGAGCGCAAUGGCAUGAUCUCAACUCACUGCAACCACUGCCUCCCAGGUUCAAGCAAUUCCCCUGCCUCAGCCUCCCAAGUAGCUGGGAUUGCAGGUGCCCACCACCAUGCCCAGCUAAUUUUUGUAUUUUUGGUAGAGAUGGGGAUUCACCAUGUUGACCAGGCUGGUCUCGAACUUCUGAUUUCAGGCGAUCCACCUGCCUUAGCCUCCCAAAGUGCUGGGAUUACAGGCAUGAGCCACCACACCUGGGCCUAGUCAUUUCCUUCUGGAUCCUGCUCUGUGUGUCUUUAGGCCUCUCCUCUUGUGAUAUCCAUGCUGCAAAAAUUAGCUUGGGACUGUCACCACCUCAUUACAGAUAGACUUCAUGUGACUCGUGUUGUACUUGCUGUCAGCCAUCAUCCUUAAAGUCAUUUUUACACAUGCUGUGGAUCAGCCACAUUUCUUCCUAGUCAGUAAUAAUUAUAAUUAUACUUAACACUUAUGAGACUUAGUAUAGCAAGAUGGUUAAGAACAUAGGCUCUGGAAUGAGACUGCUUAGUGGGAAGCACUAUGAUUGGCACCAUGUGUUAUCUAUCACCAUCACCAUCAUCAUCAUCCAUCACCAUCACUAUCACCACCAUCAUCAUCAACAUCACCAUCACUAUCACCACCAUCAUCACCAUCACCAUCACUAUCACCACCAUCAUCAUCACCAUCACCAUCAUCACAUCACCAUCAACACUAUCAUCACCACCAUCACCAUCACCAUCAUCACAUCACCAUCAACACUAUCACCACCAUCACCAUCACUGUCACUACCAUUAUUACCAUCACCAUCAUUACCAUCGCUAUCACCAUCAUACCACCAUCACCAUCAUCACCAUCACUAUCACCACCAUCACCAAUCAUCACCAUCACUAUCACCACCAUCACCACCAUCACCAUAAUCAUCAGCACCAUCACCAUCACCCAUCACCAUCACCACCAUCACUAUCACCACCAUCAUCUUCACCACCACCAUCAUCAUACCAUCACCAUUAUCAUUGCCACCACCACCAUCAUCAGCAUCACCAUCACAUCAUCAUCACCAUGUUAAGUAAGCACUUUGCCUAUGUUAACUGAUUUAAUUCUCGUAACAACUUCAUAAUGUAGGGGCAAUUAUUAUCCCAGUUUUACAAGUGAGAAAGUGGGACCUCAUAAGAUUAUGUUUUGUGCCGAGGGUAACAGUGACAAGAAUCUAAACCUGGGCAGGGUCCUUUGGUUGGUUUUGUUUGUUAUGUUGUUGACCAACGUGCAAGACCAUAUCUGCUCCUGCUAUUCAUAAAUUUCAUCUUUUAGUCAGCACUUUAUCCUUAUUUUACACUAUCUUUUGGAUUCCUGGUUCUGUCAUCCCAAGUGUAUCUGCCUCCUAGCUUCAUGCUGUCUGUCAUAUUGUGAGAAAAAUAUGUAUCUUCACCUAGAUCAUGCACAAGGUCAGAGGCCAUGCAGCAAUUCCCUACAGAUUCUGCUCACUGAAGCCCGAUGGUGCACAUCUCCUGAAGCUCCCUGAGCCUGUAGUCUUGUAACCCACUCAGAGAAGCCUAGGGAGUGGUCGGACAUGAUUUGUUUUUGAACAUAUUUGUAUUUGGUUCCUGAGAAUCACGUUUCCUCCUCACUUUCAGGUUUCCAUUCCAGAAUCUUUUCCAAGAUGGACAGCUCCCUCCAAAUUUAUAGUUGCUGAAAUCAAUUCUCUGGGCAGGGUCAGAUGCAAGGAACAAAUAGAAAACAGGGCCUGCAGAACACACAUCCCAGAGGUGAUAAUGACCGGUUAAUCCCUGCAGAUAGUUAGAUCUAGGAGACUGUCCCUGAGCUUCAGGGCUCCCUGCCUCUGAAUCCAGCAGUGCAAAUGCAAGCCUCUAUGUUCCCCCUAAACCAUAGGUGGCUGAGGAGCCAUGGUGUUGCCAGCAUUUCUAUAAAGGAGGAGCGCAGGGCAGCAAUCUCAUCAGAAGGGAGGCUGGGGCUGGCCUUGAAUUUAGAUUGUAUGUAUAUUUGGGGCAAUUUGCAAGGAAGGGGUGCCCUGAUAGAGAUUUUGUGGGCUAAAUCCCCCACAUAAAGCUAUUUUGUGCCACUGCUCCUGUGCCAACUCACCAGAAAAGCUGGACUGAUUUCUCCCCUCUCUCCUUUCCUGGUUCUGUUCUCUGACCCUGGGUGAUUAAUGUAACCUAGCUAUGUUCAAUUACCCAUCCUUUUCAUGAUGUCGGGAUGUCUGCCACCUGUCCCUGGUGCUCUUCUUGGCUUCCUGUGAGCUGUGACAAUGGGAGACUUGUGGCUUUUGGAGGAGAGCAGGAGGCCCUGGGUCUGCCAUCAGUCUGGUCUCCCUAAUCACAUGAUUAUCACUGGAGCCUUCCCGAGCUGGGAAGUUGCAAAACAAACAUGCAGGGAACAUUCUUCCACCCCAGUACGUUCCCCUCAUGAAAUCAUCAAGCAAACCCUGCAUGCUUUCUCUUGGUGUGGUCAGGCAGAAGGGGUGUCUCUCUCAUACUAGAGCAGUCAAUGGCCAUUGGCUGACUGAGACUAACAGCAGAUCUAGAAGGAUUUGGAGAAUGCUGUCUUGGUUCUCUUAGAACAGCAUGUGGCCCUAGUAGUGUGCCUGUUUUGGGGACAGUGGAGCCCCUGCAAGUCAUGAAAACUGAUGGGGCAGGGAGGGGAGCUCCAGCCAGAAAUGGGAAGUGUCUCAAACCUUAGUGAAGUGAUCUUGAAUCUGAUUUACAGGGCUGAUUUUGACACAUUAUUCUCAAGAAAACAGUGGUUUAGGUCAUGGUCUCAAGCUCUAUCUAGAUUGAAAUUCUGUCAGGCAUGUUAGCUCACAUUUGUAAUCCAAGCACUUUGGGAGGCAAAGGUGGGAGGAUCGCUUGAGCUCAGAAGUUUGAGACCAGUCUGAGCAACAUAGUGAGAUACCAUCUCUACAAAAAAUUCAAAAAUUAGCUGGGCAUGGUGGCACACACCUGUAAUUCCAGCUACUGAGGAGGCUGAGGCAGAAGGAUCACUUGAUCCCAGGAGGUUGAGGUUGUGAUGAGCUGUGAUCAUGCCACAGCACUCCAGCCUGGGCAACAGAGCAAGACCCUGCCUCAAAAAAAAAAAAAAAACAAUCUUUACCAGCUCUGUGAUCUAGCACAAUUUAUUUGAGUUUUGCAGGCCUCAUCCAAAGAUAAUAAUUGGACUUACCUUAUUUGUUGUGACAACUAAAUAAAAAAUAAUACAUGAAAAGUGCUUAGAACAGUUCCUGGCACUUAGUAAGAGCUUUGUAAGUAUUAACUAAUAUUAGUACCAUCAUCAUCUUUAUUGCCACUAUCUACUGAGUAUUUAAUAUGUACCAGACAUGUCUAAGCACAUAUAGUACAUGCAUUAUUAGCUCAUUGAACUUCACUUCAUUUUUUUGGGGGGGGGGGUAGGGCGGGGUUUGUUGUUUUUUGUGACAGAAUCUCACUCUGUCACCCAGGUGGCAGUGCAGUGGUGUGAUCUCGGCUCACUGCAACCUCUGCCCCCCAGGUUUAAGCAAUUCUCCUGCUUCAGCAUCCCAAGUAGCUGGGACUACAGGCAUGUGCCACCACACCCGGCUAAUUUUUGUAUUUUUAGUAGAGACAGGGUUUCACCAUGUUGGCCAGGCUGGUCUUGAACUCCUGACCUCAAGUGAUAUGCCCACCUUGACCUUCCAAAGUGCUGAGAUUACAGGCAUGAACCACUGUGCCUUGCUGAACUACACUUUGAAGUAAGGGUUAACCCUGUGCUUCAGUUGAGGAAACUAAAAAUGGGAGAGUUCAGUACAAAGUUAAACCAGCAAGUAAUUGAAGUCGAAAUCUAGAAUCAAGGGUUUUUUGUUUAUUUUUUAUUUUGGAGACAGGGCCUUGCCAUGUCGCCCAGGUUGGAGCAUGGUGGUGCAAUCACAGCUCACUUUAGCUUCAACCUCCUGGGCUCAAGCGAUCCUCCCACCUCAGCCUACUGAGUAGCUGGGAUCACAGGCAUGCACCACCACACCUGGCUAAUUUUUGUAUUUUUUGUAGAGACAGGGUUUCAUUAUGUUGUCCUGGCUGGUCUUGAACUGCUGGGUUCAAGCAAUCCACCAUCCACCUUGGCCUCCCAAAGUGCUGGGAUUACAGGUGUGAGCCACUGCAUCCAGCCUGGAAUCGAGUUUUCCUAACUCCGGAGUUACACUGUUAUUGCCCUCUGCUACUGUCCGUAGUAACAGCCAUAUUACUGAGUACUUCCCACUCGCUGAGUAGGGUGCUGAGCACUUUACAUGCCUUAUUUCAUUUAAUGUUCACAAUAAUCCUAUGAGGUAGAUUCUUUUGUUAUUCCCAUUUUACAGAUGAGGUAACCAAGGAUCAGAGAAGCUAAGCAGCCUCCACAGAUUUAUAUGGCAAAGAAAGUCAGCAUUUAAAUCCAGGCCUUCCUGACUCUAAAAUCUGUUCUAUUGAGUUUGACUGCCAAACAGGUGAGCAGAAUGCUCCUAGGAGGUUGGUAACAGUGGUUGGUGAUCCAUAAUGUCUGGGAUCCACUGAAACUCCGGGAUACAGUUUGCCUAAUCAGCCCUAUUUUCUGAGCUAUUGUUAGGGACAAUUUUCACUUUCUCUGAUGCUUCAUUUCCCUGCAGCUUCUGAAAGCUGUUGAUUUGCUCAGAAUAAGACCAUGUUCUGUGCCUUUCGCAUCUCAGAUUGUUGUGUACAUGCUCAAGAGUAUAGAGGAAUCAUAAACAUUCCAGAAGGAGGCCCUGGUGUACUAUGCGAAGUUUUUGCCACAUAGCUAUGGGAGGAAUCUGUGUUUCUUGACCAAACACUUGAGGUUAUGGGACUGCAAGAUUCCAAAUGUGCAUUUCAACAGGUCGUGAUGGGGCAACUUGUUUUGUGACAUAUAGCACUAUAAGUAGAAUACAUUCUAUAGACAAGGGAUUCUUAGCCAGGCAUGCAUGGUGGGGCUUCAGAGGCUCUGGGAACAUUCUGUAUGUGUGUGUGCAUUUUACUGGAGAGAGAGCUCCUAACUUUUGUAAUAUUCUCAAAGGAGUUCAUGACUCAAAAAAAUUAUUUACAAACCAUUGUUCUCCGGCCAGGCGCGUUGGCUCAUGCCUGUAAUCCCAGCACUUUGGGAGGCCAAGAAGGGCCGUUCACCUGAGACCAGCCUGGCCAAAAUGGUGAAACCCUGUCUCUACUAAAAAUACAAUCAGCUGGGUGUGGUGGCGCAUGCCUGUAAUCCCAGCUACUCGGGGGGCUGAGGCAGGAGAAUAGCUGGAACCCGGGAGGUUGAGGUUGCAGUGAGCAGAGAUUGCGCCAUUACACUCCAGCUUGGGCAGCUGAGCAAGACUCCAUCUCAAAAAAAGAAAAAAAAAGAAGGGCUCCCAUCUGCUUUUGCAGAAUCAGAGAAUGUGAUCACUGCAACGGUUGAGGGGAGGGCGCAGGGGAAGGAAGGGGGAGGGCCAAAGGCUGGAGGGACAAUAGCUCACCCUGGAAUAUUUUCAAGUUUAGUGGGGACGACUCUGGAAACAAGCUGACUCUGAAAAUGACACAGAAUUUACAGUGUUAUUGCUUCUUUGAAAGGUGGGCGGUCCGUGGUUUUUCCUCAGCAUUCAUUCAUAUACUUCUAGGAAGUGCCAUUUAGUUUCAUACAGUUUACAUAUACCUGGUUUUGCUGCAUCUGGAGAGAUUCAGGAUAGUUCUUGUUAAUGAGAAGUCAUAGGGUGAAGCUAUAAUGCACUAUCCAUUGUGAACCCUGAUAACUUGAGAUAGGUCUCAGUGAAUUUAGAAAGUUUAUCUGGCCAAGAUUGAGGACGCACACCCGUGACACAGCCUCAGUAAGUUCUGAGGACGUGUGCCCAAGGUCAUCAGAGCAGUUUGGUUUUAUACAUUCUAGGAAUACAGAAGACAUCAAUCAAUGUGUACAAGAUUAACAUUGGGUCAGUCUGCAAAGGCGGGACAACUUGAAGCAAAGGCGGGAAUUCUCAAAGCAAGGAGGGCACUUCUGGGACAUAGGUAGUUGAGAGACAAAUGGUUGCAUUCUUUUGAGUUUCUGAUUACCCUUCCCAAAGGAGGAAAUUAAAUAUGCAUUUAUCUCUGUGAGCAGAGGAGUGACUUUGAAUAGAAUGGGAGGCAGGAUGGCCCUAAGCAGUUCCCAGCUUGACUUUUCCCUUUAGCUUAGUGAUUUGGAGCCCCAAGAUUUAUUUUUCUUUUACACAAUUUUUAAAACCCAGGUAGAAGUAGCCAUGCUUGUUAAAGAAACAAAGGAAGAAAGAAAAGCAAAUGAUAGGCUGGGCAUGGUGUCUCACGCCUGUAAUCUCAGCAAUUUGGGAGGCUGAGGUGGGUGGAUCACCAGAGGUCAGGAGUUUGAAAACAGCCUGGUCAAUAUGGUGAAACCCCAUCUCUUUUACAAACACAAAAUUAGGCAGGUGUGGUGGAGGGCUCCUGUAAUCCCAGCUACUCUGGAGGAUGAGGCAGGAGAAUCACUGGAAGCCAGGAGGCAGAGGCUGCAGUGAGCCAAGAUCGCACCACUGCACUCCAGCCUGGGCAAAAAAAGUGAACCUCUGUCUAAAUAAAUAAAGAGGUAAAUAAAUAAAUACAAUUAUUUUAAUCUGCUUGUUAAAGGUAUCUGAUAGAAUUUUGAAUUUUUUUUGUUAUUUUGAAUUUCUUUGUUUCUCUAAUACAGCUAUUUAGAAUUCUCUUUCAGAAAAAUGACACAUUUUUGUUUCUCCAGGAUUGGUCCCUGGCUCCUUUUUUAGUUUGUUUGAUUAAGUAUUUCUUUUAAUGAUUUGUUGAUGCCAGUAGAUCUUUGUGGGUGUCUCACCAUUGAAGAUUUUAAUAUUUAUUGUAGUCAACACUGCCUGGGUUUGUUUGUAGCCAUUGUUCCUAGGAAGGCUUUAGAGAUAUUCAAAACGACUUGGGUGUUGUGAUCUAAGCUCUUUCUACUUUAUGGGACAUCUCAAGCCCAGUAACACUGUGGUUCUUGCAGGCUCACAGAGGUACUACCUUGAUGGUCUUGGACAACAUGGUCUUGCAGAAUUUUCUGAAUUAUCUGGCAGGGACUCUUCUUCUUUUACUUUCUCCCAAACAAAUGGAGUCUGUGUGUGUGUUUAUCUGUGUGUGUGUGUUCUGAGACACAUGAAAGUGAAGUGGAGUGACCCAAACAUCUCUGUGGCCAUGACCACUAUGACUGCACUGGGUCAGACCUGAAUCCAGCAGAGUGCUUGAUCUCACCCAAGGCCUGCCAUCACAGCUUCCUGGUUACUGUGUGAUACCCAACCUUGUUUUAACCUGAAUUGACUUUCCCUUAGCUGAGAGAGCCAGACAGACUCCAUCUUGGCUCCUUCACUUACAGCCCCUUACCCACCCCCUUCCUCAAGGACUUAACUUGUGCAAGCAGUCUCCCAGCACAUCCAAGGACGCAAUUAACUAAUAAGAUACUGUGGCAAGCUAUGUCCGCAGUUCCUAGGAAUUCGCCCAGUUGAUAGCACCCAGAGCCCCUGUGUUUGUGUCCAGUUGAUAACACCCAAAGCCCUGCGUCUAUCACCUUGUAAUGGAUUUAAAGCCCCUGCACCUGGAACUGUUUGUUUUCCUGUAACCAUUUAUCCUUUUAACUUUUUGCCUGCUUUACUUCUGUAAGAUUGUUUUAACUAGACUCCCCCCACCUCCCCUUUCUAAACCAAAGUACAUAAGAAAAUCUAACACCUUCUUUGGGGCCAAGAGAAUUUUAAGUACUAGCCAUCUCUUGGUCACCGGCUAAUAAAGGACUCCUGAAUUCAUCUCAGCAUGUGGCGUUUCUCUGUAACUCACUCGGUUACAACAACUGUCUAUGUUCAUUCAGGGCACUGUGGCUCUACAAUCAGCAGGUGAAAAAGUCAGCCAGGCCUCGAUUACUCCCUUCAGUUUAGCAAGUUUCUUUAGGCCCUAGGUUGGUUCAGAGGUGCUAUUCAGGAGUCAGGGACUAAAAUAAAAAACUUCAGAAAGCUAAGGUUUUGGCAGUGAGAGUUUGGCAGAAGAGUGUGGAAUAGAUCUUUAAAAAAGUGAAAGUUUCUAAAUAAAGAUUGAAACCUGAUGGGAAAAACAAUAGAGAAAAAUACAAAAAUUAUUUUCAUGCUAAUGUUACUUAUUUAUUUAUUUAUUUUUGAGACAGGAUCUUGCUUUAUCUCCCUGGCUGGAGUGCAGUGGCCUGAGCUUAGCUCACUGCCAGCUCUGCCUCCCGGGUUCAAGUGAUUCUCCCACCACAGCCUCCCUAGUAGUUGGAAAUACAGGCACGUGCCAUGAUGUCCAGCUAAUUUUUUGUAUUUUUAGUAGAGAUGGGGUUUUGCCAUGUUGGCCAGGCUGGUCUUCAACUCUUGGCCUCAAGUGGUCAGCUCACCUCGGCCGGCCUCCCAAAGUGCUGGGAUGACAGGCAUGAGCCACUGCGCCCAGCCCAGUUUGUUAUUUAAUUACACCAGCCCUCAUUUUGAAAAAAGACUAGAUGCAGGGAUUAACAACUAGUGCUUUGAUUUUACUUGUAAAAUGUAUUUUCUUUUUUUUUCUUGUGGGCACCAGUAAAUUAAACACUAAUAAAAAUAUAAUACAGGCCUGGCACGGUGGCUCAUGCUUGUAAUCCCAGCACUUUGAGAGGCCAAGGCAGAUGGAUCACAAGAUCAUGAGUUUGAGACUAGCCUGGCCAACAUAGUGAAACUCCGUCUCCACUAAAAAUACAAAAAAAAAAAAAAAAAAAAAAGCCAGGCAUGGUGGUGGGCGCCUGUAAUCCCAGCUACUCAGGAGGCUGAGGCAGGAGAACUGCUUCAACCUGGGAGGUGGAGGUAGCAG
rnacentral:lncRNA from 1 species